UACGUAGGGGGCUAGCGUUGUCCGGAAUCAUUGGGCGUAAAGGGCGCGUAGGCGGCCUUCUAAGUCAGACGUGAAAUCCCCCGGCUUAACCUGGGAACUGCGUCUGAUACUGGGAGGCUUGAGUAUGGGAGAGGGAUGUAGAAUUCCAGGUGUAGCGGUGAAAUGCGUAGAUAUCUGGAGGAAUACCGGUGGCGAAGGCGGCAUCCUGGACCAUAACUGACGCUGAGGCGCGAAAGCUAGGGGAGCAAACGGGG
rnacentral:rRNA from 1 species